rnacentral:lncRNA from 1 species
GAUUUAAGUUUUUUCGCAUGCUAAUGCAUAUUUGCGUUAAGUGAUCAAGUUGUUCUAAAUCUUGGCUUCCUACAUUAUUUAGUAUCAGAGUUUAGGCUUACCCAAUAAGUUGAUUCAAAUUUCCCAGCUCAACAAGAUGGUUAGAGCAACCUCACUUGAAGAACUCUCACUCUUAUAAUUUAGCAAAACUAAAUGUAAAGAAUAAACUAAAGUUUUAUUAGUUUGAAUUGAAUUUGUUUUUACAACCUAAUAUGAGGCCUUUUUAUAGGCUUUCAUCGAAUGUAUUCUUAAUAAAAUCAAAGAUUAAAUAUUUAGAACUCCUUUGAAAGAGAGUGAAAGAAUUUGACUAGGAAACUUGAGCUUCUUGGACGAUUUCUCCAUGUGCUUUUAUCUUGAAAGCUUGAUGUUUAUCUUGAAUUCUCUCUUUCACUUCAUAGAGAAUCCUUUUGGAUUAAAUU